UCAGGACAGAACACAGACAACUCACCAUGGAGUCUGUGCUUGGCUGGGUUUUUCUUGAUACUCUUUUAAAAGGUGUCCAGUGUGAGGUGCAGCUGGUGGACUCUGGGGGAGACCUGGUGAAGCCUGGGGGGUCCCCGAGACUCUCCUGUGCAGCCUCUGGAUUCACCUUCAGCAGCUACUACAUGAGCUGGGUCUGCCAGGCUCCAGGGAAGGGUCUACAGUGGGUCGCAGGUAUUAGCAGUAGUGGUAGAAGCACAUACUACACAGACUCUGUGAAGGGCCGAUUCACCAUCUCCAGAGACAAUGGCAAGAACACGCUGUAUCUGCAGAUGAACAGCCUGAGAGCCGAGGACACGGCCGUGUAUUACUGUGCCAGUGACAGUGAGGGGACGUCAGUGUGA